UCCUUUCGCCAGAUGGGUUCUUUGGAUGGGUCUGAGGAUCGGGUUCAAAUCUCCCCAGACACACUUGCUCUAAACGGACUAUUAAUCUCUGAACUCAGUUCAUUCAUUUGCAAAAUGUGUCCGGGGCUAGACCUAUGAUCCCAUGAUAUGAAAUUGAUUUGGGGGUCAACAUUUAUAACUGAGCUGCGGGUUCUAUUGUGAAAUCUUUGGCUCUUAGGGGAAUGUAACACCACCCUCACCACCUAUAGGCAUUAUUAAGCACUUUCUGUGCCAGGGGCAGCUGGGUGGGCAGUGCCCCCCAUCUGGGGUCGGGAGGACCAUGAGCUCAGUCACCUGGGCAAGUCAUGUCCUUGGGUCAGUUUCUAGUCCUCCUAAUGAGCUGGAGAAGGAAAUUUCAAGCCGUUUCUGUAUCUUUGCCAAGAAAACCCCAACUGGGCUCAUGGAGAGUUGAUUAAAUUGGGCAGUUGGAUUUUAAACUCAGUUUUCUUGACUUUGUAACUUUCUCCUCUAUGCCAUGCUGUUUCCCGGGAACUCUAGGCUGAUAGCUUAAGAAUGGUUCUGUAGCCGAGGGAUUAAAACAUUCCCUUUUUUAGAGUGAAGUGACCUGCCCACGGUCACACAGCUGGUACGUGUUGGAGGACAGAUUUGACCGGAGGCCAAAGCCAGAUCACCUGCUCCAAGUCUGGUUUGUCUAGCUGGGGAGAGCUGAGGCUAGCGGGGUGUUGAUUUGCCAGAGAUGGGAGACCUGGAUUCCAAUCCUGGCUGUGGUACCAGCUGUUUGAUUAGUCCCAUUGCACAGAGGAGGAAACUGAGGUUCCUUCUCACACCAAUGCAAAAAGCUCAUUUUACCCUUGAGAUAAAAAUGCAAAUUGGUAUCAUCUAGUCCCCCUCCACCUCCCAGCCCCGUGCAGGAGCCCCGGUUAACCAGGAGCCUUGGUUAGCUCUCUGCAUGCGCUCUCACUUCCUGACCGGGGCUUGGAUAGUAACUGACUUUAAAGUCCACAAACGUUUAAGUACUUAGUAGUAACUGUUACUAUUGAUGUGGUUCUUGCGGUGUGCAAAGCCCGGGGCUUGCCAACCACGCAAGGCCAGCCCCGGCCGCCUAGAGCUCCCCCGGCAUACAGCAGGCACUUAAUAAAUGUGCAUUGCGUUUCAAUGGCGGAGAGAUGGGUCGAUUGUUGGAGCGGAGGUUAGCAACGGCCGCCUCCGCCAGGGAGAGAACAGCAAACACCUUUUGCCCAAGGGGAGCCUGGAGCUGGGUCUGGAGGAGCGGGGCCCAGACUUGGCCCGAGGCCGCAGAGGAGGCAGCAGAGGCUCGGAGGCCGCAGAGAGGCUCGGAGGCCGCAGAGGGAGGCAGCAGAGGCUCGGAGGCCGCAGAGGAGGCAGCAGAGGCUCGGAGGCUGCAGAGGAGGCCGCAGGGAGGCUCGGAGGGCGUGGACCCUGCUCACUUCGGUUACUGGGGCUCAGGGAGCUCUAGGACCGUGAGCCAGGGCCCGGCGUGCGGGAGAAGGGCUCGCGGACUGGAGGCUUCGGCCGCAGUGCGAAGGGCCGGCUGCAGAGCCGGCCACGUGACCUCCGCCGGCUCCCUCGAGGCCCCCGGGGCCGGCACGUGCUGCCAGGCCCGCCCUUCAAACAGCCCCCCGCGCGCAAGCGCUCCGUGCAGUCCCGAGCCGGGGAGCGAGCUCCCGGGAGCCUGGCGGGCGCUCGGACGGCCCGCGCCGCGGCGGCGGCUCAUUUGCAUGAGCAGCCCGGGAGAGCCAAUGGGGAAGCGGGCCGGGCAUGCCGGGAGCCGGGCUGGGCAGCGAAGGCAGAAGGUUCGCCGGCCCCCGGGCGGCCCCGGCCAGUGUGCGGGCGCAGCGCUGCGCGUCGGAAGCCGGGAGCCCGGGGCCCUGGAGCCGGGGCCGCCCAGACCGAGCAGCCUUUCCCUGCUCCCCGGCGAGGCCGGGGCCCGGGCCCGAAAACAUGAAUUACCUGGUGAGUGCGGGCGCGGCCGGGGCCGGGCGGGGCGGGGGUCCGUCCGAGGCAGGCCCGGCCCGCAGCGGGGGGGACGGUGCCGUCGGGGACGCCCCUCCGCGGCACACACCCCCUUCUGGCUCGGGGAGCGCGCACACCCCCGCCGUCCCUUUCCCCCGGACCUCUCCCCUCUGACUUGGGGAAGGGGUGCGCCCCUCCUCGGUGACCCCCGCCCCGAAACCCCCCGCUUUUCUAAAGGCGGGGCGCGCCUCCUCCCAGGCCCCCUCCCCAGCGCACACCCCCUUUCUCCCAGCGCCCUUCCCCUCUGCUUCGGAGAAGGGCGUGCGCCCCUCCUCUGCGCCCCUGCCCGCACACACCCCCUUCCCCUCCACACCCCCUCUCCUGCGCGCACACGCCCCCGUUCGCUCCCAGGCGGCGUUCGGGAGAGAAGGGGUUAAGCUUGUGGCAUUUCCUGCCCGGAAUGGUUUCGGGGAAGCCGCAGCCUAGGUGGGCGCUGGCCCAGGUGAUCGGCCUCUGGGCCGGCCCACCCCGCUCCGCACCUGGGGGCCCCGCUCACCCCUCCCCGGGCUGGGGCGGGGGCCGUGCGAAGUGGGGUUCGGGCUAAUGCCCCGCCCCCAAUGAGGUCACAGCCCCGACCUGCCCUGCCUUUAAGUUGCCCCAGGGAUCGCCCCGCCCCGCAAGGUAGAAAAGUUGUCUGCUGGGGGGGGGGGGGGUGAAGGAGAAGCCCGAGUCCUGCCUUAGCCCGGCCGCCUUUUCUGCUCUGGGCGGCGGCUUGGGGCAAAGCCUCCUGCCCAUCUGGGGGGGGGGGGUCGCUCCGGGCGGCGCGGAGAGGGAUUGAUCCCGGGCGGGUCAGCGGCGCCGGGCCCGCCGCGGCUCGGGAGGGUGUUAAUGAUUCACUCGGGGAGCGCAGCCCUGCUCAUGCUGCCGGGAGGCUGUCGGAGGGGCCGCUCGCGGCCCGAUCCCUGCCCCCUUUACCUGCUAUUGCAAAACGCCUCUGUGGGCCUGACCCCGAGGACCGGACCGGGGCCGCCCCUGCUGCGACCUUGCGUUGGCUACUCUCGCUUCCCAAAGGCUUUCCCUUCCUCCCUAGGGUCAGCCUGCUCUCAGGCCCAGAGUAGCUAGAGGCGCCAGGAUUCGGUCCAGUGGCUCCCCAACUUUGGGCCGAGUUCCCGAUGCUCUGGGGGCUGGGUUAUGACGCGAGACCAAGGCUCUCCCCCUCCCACCCCAUUCUUCUUCCAGUAUUACUGUUGUAAUUUACUGUUGUAAAAAUCUCCCCCCGCCCCCAACCUGAGAUAGGCUGGAGUGUGGGCAGUGCCAUGCUCGCCGGGAGGAGCAGGUGUGCCCUGUGUUCUUAUCAGGGUGCCCUGGCAGCGGAAAGGAAGCUGGAGCUGUCAGAGCAGGUGGAGGGAGGCAGGCUGGGCCAGCUCCCAGGAACAGGGUGUGGGAGAGGGAGCUGAGGGUGCUGCCCCUCCCUUGGGCACCCCCUGCCCGCAGGGGUGCGCAGGAGCCUGCCGCGGUUGCCUGUGCUGGGUACUUUUUUUCCAUGCCCCCAGGGUACGUAGAGCCUUUGCUGUUCAAGAACCUGAAAGUCAGUGCUGGAGCAGGAGGCGAGUCUGGGCUGGAGCAGGCUGGGGGAGGGCUGCUGACUUGCCAGAGCCAGGGUGAGCCAACACAAGCACCUCACUUGCUGGCUUUAGGCCCUGCUGGGGGCACAGCCAGGCCACGGAACAGGUUAAAUAAGGGUGGAAGGGUGAGGAGCUGUUGCUCUCUUCUAGAAUGAGCUUUUGGAGCUUGCCCAGCAUCGCCGGGGCCCUCGGGAAAUGCUGUGCCUUGUGCUCUGAGGCUGCUUCGGCGGUCUGGAGAGCAGGGCAGGAAUUUGGGAACUCCCCGGUCUAGGAACACACAGAGGAGGAAACAGAGGCAGGUCACCCCUUGUGGGUGACAGAGGCCCUCUGACUGCAGAGCCAGCUGAUUGACCCUGAAGGUACCUGGGGAUUCUGGAAUAAAAAUGACCCUGCCUGAUGGAGGGCACACGAGAGGUCCUGACUCUGGAGUUCAGACCUUGCUGCAGAGCUUCACCUAAACAUGACCACUUAGUUCUGUUUGUCUCCCUCCUCACAGUCCCCCAGGACUACAGGCCUGCCCAUGAACCCUUUGGUCCCAGAUCGUCCUUGUCCUCUUCACCUUGCAGUAUCAGUUAGUAGGGUAAGGACCAGCACGAACACAGGUACAGAAAUACAAAAUAGAUACCUGCAGUCUCAGAGGUAUCACCACCACCAACUUCAUCAUGAUUUCUGAUAUGGCCAUUACGGCCGUUAUCAAGAGCUAUAACCACAUGAACAAAAACUCCUUGAGGGGUGGGCCGAGGCUGUGGUUUUUAGGUGAUUAAAGAGGGUCAGGCCAUAGAGUUUGAGAACCACAGAAUUAGAAGGGCUCAAGGUGGUAUGUCUUCUAUAGACCUCUCUGUCCCUUACCAUCCUUACAAGUAAUGAUAGGCAGCCUCAUUAGCGUUAACGAGAAAAUAGACUGUGUAAAUGUGUGCCCUUGUGUUAAUGGUACCUGAAAACCGCCUUUUCUCUAGGUACUUCUGUGGUGUCUGUAUAUAAUGUCUCUCAAACUAACAAAACCAAAAUACCCGUGUAGGAAAGAGGGAGGAGCAGAGUGUGGGCAUCUUUUUUUUUUUUUUUUUUUUUUUUUUUAAAUAAGACUUAAAGUCAGAGGUGGGAGGAAGUCCUUGAUUUGCCAUGAGCCUGAAAAUCUGGGUUCUGAGGCUGCGCAGCUUCCUCUGUUCCAUCAUUUGGUUUGAGUCCAGCUCUUUGUGACUCCAUUUGGGGUUUUCUUGGCAAAUGCACUAAAGUGGUUGGCCAUUUCCUUCUCCAUUUCAUUUUACAGAUGAGGAAACUGAGGCAAACAGGGUUAAGUGACUUGCCUGCUGACUGUCUGAAGGCAGAUUUGAACUCGGGUCCUCCUGAUUCUCCUCAUUGUAUCUGUUGUGCCUCUAGCUGCCUCUUGGCAUCCUUAGAAGUCCCACAAAGAAGGACUGUGGGAAGGAAGCUGAAAGUUGAUGAGCCCCCCGUUCCUUCUCUAGGCCGCCAUGUCCGCUGGCCGCCUGCAUAUCCUUACUAGAAGUAGGGGGGGGGGGGGCGUUUGCCUCUGAUACCCACUGUGGUUGGCUCAGGUAUUCUUUCCUACCUCCACAAAUACCCUGGACCUGUUAGCACAGGCUGUGAGUGAGGAAAACUGAGGAGAAAGAGUUCCCGUCUGCCAGCUUCAGGCCAGCGCAGGAGAGCUCCCAUCUUGUCUGGCCGGCGGAGGGCCCCCUGGGGUCAGCAGAGGGUUUACCUCGUUGCCUCUUCUUGCCCGGGACAGAUUGUAGACUCAGGCUGCCUGCCAGCUGCUCAGUCUGGCUCUCAUGCCCCCUCAUCCGUGUGUGCUCCUGACUGCCAUCCUCUCCCUGGUUAGAGAAACUGAGAACGGAAGUUCUUUCUGGGGCUCUGCUAACAGGGUCUACAUGGGACAUUCAUUGAGCCUCUGAGACUGGUGGUGGAAAGAGAAAGCAGUGGAUGUGGGGUCAGAAGGCCUAGGUUGGAAUCCUGGCCCUGCCCCACUCUAGCCUGUGACCUUGGUGAGGUUACCUUAAUCUGUGAAACGAGACAGGUGGCCGGCCCCCCUUGAGCUCUGUGCCCACUGCCACUGCCCCAGGGCCUGUGGGAGAGGGGAUCCCCUCACCCAGGGCCCUUCCAGGCUCACCCCGGCUGAGGUCAGAGAGCACUGGUCUGGCGGAGGCGUCUCUGCUCUCCCUCAGACAAAGGGCUCCUCUGUGUGCCCCUCACUGACGGCCUGGGCUUCUCCCAGACACAGAGUCCUUGUUGAUCUUAGCCAAGAACAGGACCCGAGGGCUGCCAGGUCCUUUUAGAAAAGGGUUCCACCCUGUGGCCUGAGAACUGGCCUCUUGCAGGAUGGUGCACCCAUCCCUUGCCCAGCCUAGCCGGAGGAGGCGGGAACGGGUUUAACGGUCACUUGGAGGGGGGCCUUGGCCCUCAAAGGGCUGGAGAAGGAGUGAGUAGGAGCCUUUGAGAUGCUUGGUACAAGGGAUGGAAGCGGCUUGCUGUCCCUCGUCUUGGUCCCGGAGAGCUUGAUUCUCCGAGGUAGGCACUGGUCAGAAGCUCGGGGUGCCCCUGGGCGGUGAGCCCCCCAGCUGGGGAGGUGAAUCUGGCCUCUGCAGAACUGCUGCCCCCAACUCCAGGCCCGAGAACCGCACUCGUCUGCGGACAAGCAGAUUUUCUCGCCAGAACCUUCCUGGUUUGGAGGUCGACUCUUCCUGGAUCCAGCCGGGGAGGCUCACCUGGGCCGCAACUGCUUUCUGGACCUUGUUCCAACCCAUCUGACUGGCUUUCCUCCCUAGAAAACUAGAGGAGCGUCUCUGUCUCAGAGAACACUUAGCUCUGGGAGGGCACAGGCUCCGUUGGUUCUCAUUCACUAGUGCAUUCUGGAAGUAGUUACUUAAUACCUACUAUGCGCUGGUCUCCCUGGAGACCUGAGGAACAAACUGUGGCGCCAGAUUCAUUUCUCUCUUCCUAGAGUUUUGGCGGGCCGCGACACCCCCGCUUCCCCAGCGACCCGCUGAUGCCUCCGUGAAUGUUCUCUCAAUUUGGAACCCCUCCCCCACUCCCACAGAGUUUCAUGAGGCAAAGGCGCCUCUGGACUCCCAGGACCGCUCAGCCCUCGGGGCAGAAUGGAUUUCUGGCUCCCUGGGUGUCCCAACUGCACCCCUCGGCCCAGGGACCUCUCAGCCCUGAGAAGUCAGGAGCCCUUCAGGGGGUGGAGAAGGGGAUGGGAGACGGAGUCUCUGUCCUGGGGUCCGGCAGCAGGUUACAAACCCCUGGAAGAGAAAAACCAGAAGAUUGUGUGGGGGGGUCCUGAGGCGUUGAGGUUCUGAGCCCACCGCUGUUCGUGGGGCCUCCGCGGCUCCCCGGAGCGAGGAGAGGGACAGGGCUGAGGUUCCCGCUCGCUGGCGGCCUGUUUUCUCCCCCAAAUUGUAACAUCCCCGUGUCCUGGGAGUGCUCUGAUUGCACCCGAUGCUCACAAGCAUCAGCCCCUGCGAGGUAGGCAGGGGAUGGAUGGGUGAGACACUAAGGCCAGUGAGAGGGAGCAGCUUGUGCAGGGACUUGGCCCUCCUGCCCCCAGACUGGUGGCUCCCUCCUCCGGGACCUCAGGCCUGACUCCUUGUUUCCGGCAGUUCCCAGGCUCACUUCCCUGGGACCACAGCCUGAGGCCCCAGUGGCAGCCGGAGCCGGCAGCCUGGUAAGGGAGCUCUGGGAGGGGGGAUCCCCUCCCCACAGUGCUGAGGAGGCUGGGGAAAGCUCCCAGGGACGGGCAGGGCCCAAGGAAUCGCGUUAUCCCAAGUGGGGAGCCCUUGCACCCAGCCCCGCCAACACCCGCUUGCUCACAACUGGCUUCUGGCUGCAGGUGAAGCAGGCUGUGGAGGGUCUGUGCCCAUGGCAACUUGGCGCUGGCGCCCGGGGGGUCGUCCUGGCUGUGGGGGCGCUGCCUGCUCUGCUGGGGGGGGGGGUUCGCCCCCUGCCAGGCCGAAGCCGGAGCUCUGCGCCUUGUCUGAGGAGCAGGUUUUCUGGCAGGCCGUGAGGUGAGGAUGUUCUUGGUCGCCCUCCCGGUGACCAGUGCAGAGAAUCUCCCCGGUUACUAAGAAAUUCUUGGUUGAUUCUCGGGGGGCCAGCUGUAGGGCCAGCAGGAAGGAUGCCAAGAGGGCCAGAUCUUGUGGGAGCCCUCCCCCCCCCCCCCCCCCCCCCCCCCCCGGCUGCAGCCGUUCUGGCCGAGGUCACUGCGUUUCCGCCAUGGCCUGAGCAGUUUCCAUACUCUCUGAAGGUGCUGCCUUUGGUCUCAGCACACACUCCCUCGCCCCCUGCAGUGAUGCCCAUUUGGGGAAUAGGGCCCCAGGACAGAUGGCAUGGCCCAGAUCUGACCAGAGGAGUCUUCUCCUUCCCCAGGCCCCCAUCGUCACCAGCUGUGUUCGUACCAGGACUGUGCCAGGGAUCAGGCGUCUACGCCUGCGUUCAGACCCGCCAGUAUUGUUGGAGCAUCUGUGGGACACACACAGAGAGUGAGCAGGACAAGGCAGCUGGGCCGGGUGGAGUCAGUGGCCAGGCUGGGCCCCCCAAGGCUGCCCCCCCCCCGAAGGACCCCCCAAGGCUGGGCCCUCCCAAGGCUGGCCCCUCCAAGGCUGGCCCUGGAGGGGAAGUAGAAAUUAAAUGGCAGGGGGGGGGGCGUUCUCUGGAGGCAGGGUCCCAACAUCUGCUUUGCCUGCAAGGCCAGAGACCAUAGAAGUCUUUGAUGGGGGGGACCCCACACUGUGGCCCUGAGACUCUGGAGGGCCCCUGCCCCAGCUCCAGGGGGCUCUGAUGUUUCCAAGGGGAGCCUGGAGGAGUCUGGGAGGGUAAGGUGUGUUUAGGCCCGGCUCUCAGACCCAGACCUUGAGGUGCCUUAGAGGACUUUUUGGUCUGGACCUUUUUUGGGGGAUGGAGCCCAGGCCCAUGAGGCGAUCUCAUGUGGCACAUCCAAGGAUAAUAAAUCCCACUGAUGUGGACCAGGGGCCCAGCUUCCCAUUACGCCCGAGUGCCUCGGGUGAAGAACCGAGACUCCUAGGGAUGGGGAGCACAGCUGGUGGGUCAGCAGGUGGAGCACUGAGCCUGGAGUCAGGAAGAACUGAGUUCAGAUUUAGCCUUGGACGCUUCCUAGCUGGGUGAUGAGGGUAGUCCCAGGGCCCCCCAAGGAAGCUGUUUGACGGGGCUGGCGAGGUUUCAUUGGGUAGAUACCUCAGACCCGACCCUCUUGUUUUAUUUUCUUUGGCUCCCUGUGCCAGAGCCUUUCCUUUCAUUUCUCAGAAUUCGAACCCUCCCUUCUAAGAAAGGAAAACUAGCAAACUUAGCAAGAAAGUUAGUCCUUCAGAUAGCCCGGGCAGCCUUCUGAACCCAGAGUGUGACCUGAAACCCAGUGUCCUGACCUGGAACCCGGAGUCCCGACCUGGAACCUGGUGUCCCGACCUGGAACCCGGAGUCUGACCUGGAACCCAGAGAUUUCUCCCCUCGGGAUGGAAACACCUUCCCCGCCCCUGAGGUAGCUCCAGCCUUGGGGCUCAGGCGAGGAAUAGACUAUACAAUUAGCUGCAGUCCUUAGCCAGGACCUGCACAGACAUUACAAUGAGCUCAUGGGUGGGGGUGGAGAAGGACCCAGCAGCCGCCCUGAGAGGGGCCGGUCAGGGAUUAACUCCUUAGGGCCUUGGACCUUCCCACCUGGAGUCCCGCCGCAGGUCACCUGAGGACAGCGUGUCCAGAGCCACUGCCAGCCCUUUGGGGCUGGGGGAGACGGCCCCGGGCGUGAGAUGGAGCCCGGGAGGCGGCCAGGGGAAUGGGUCCGGCUUGGGCCCAGGGGCCCAGCUCCUCCAGAGGCAGGAUUGAGCCUUGCUGGGAGUAGCAGGCUUCUGUUAGUGCCCACCGUUCCCUGGGCCUUUGCUGAAGGGGAAUUCCCUUUUGUCUCUGGGUGGGCUGGGUUUGGUGGCAGCCCCCACCCCCCCAUCCUUGGGACUGACAGCCUCUGACUGGGCUAGAGGGGAAAUUCUCCCUCUGACUCACUUUCCAGGCACUUCCUGUCCAUGGGGAAGGUGUAGGGGGAGGGGUGGGAGUCAGGCACCCAAAAUGGAAAUGGAGCCUGGGGAGGGGGAGCGGCGAGUGCCUCUGUUCUGGGGUCACCGCCGGAGGCGGGCCUGCCCCCUCCCCCCAGCAGCCAGCUUUUGGCCAGGAUGUAGUUCCAGAGGGGAGGCCGCCGGAGACCAUAUUUGGGAAGUCUGCCCUGGGCCCGCUCCGACUCAUUCAUAGCUUUCCCUCCGUGUCUGGGGGAGGAAGGAAGUGAGCUGCUGGGUGGGGUGGGAGAACCGAGCUGGGAGAGAGGGAAGGGUUAAGUCUCGCUCCUGCCUCCCCACCCCCCUCACCCCCCCUCAGAUGAUUAUCUGGCCGCCUAGCUGAGCUGUGUCAGCCGCCUGGACAUUCAGAAUUCUGGAAUCCCGCUAGGACCCAAACCCGGCUUGGCGGGAGACGAAAGGCCUUGGCCAAGGUCACACGGUAGCCGCCACGGGCCCACCCUACACCCUGCCGCGCCUCAGGUCGCUGCGCAGGCAUGGGUCAGCUGGGGGUGGGGGCCGGGGAGGACCCACCCUCCCUUCCUUCUGCUUUCUCUCCAGCCCCCUCCCUCCCUCUGCUUUCUCUCCAGCCCCCUCCGUCCUCCAGACACCCUGAGUCCCCACAGAAGGGCCAUCCUGUUUUUCUGUUUACAUUCCCAGUGAUUCUGUUUCCUCUUGGCUUGCAGCCACCCCAGGUCUGGCUCUCCCUGGGGCCUAGAACAGCUGGACUGGCCUUGUAGCAGUUUUCCUGGGAACUGCCAGCAGGGAGCCAGCCUGGCUGCCCGAUCUUGGAGAACGGCAGCUGCUUGGGGCCCCAGCCCUUCCCCCUUCCCCCCUCAUUUUGGGGAAAGGACAGACAAAGUUUGUGAGCAUGGGCCCAGAGCCCUAAGGCAGAGCAGAGGCGGGCUUCCUGGGGAGGAAAGAGAGUUUUCUGCCCCUGAUCAUCUGGAAGUGGUUCAUUGGCUCUGCUCAAAUCCCUCCGGUGCCGAAGAUCUGCUCCUCUGGGCUUCCACGGCACCGGUUCUUGCCUGUACGUUGAAUUUUCCCAUAUACAUUGUGGAUUGUCUGGCAAGGGCUUGGUUUGCCUCGCCUCCCCCACCCACACUGCUUCCGCUUCUGGGAUCGUCGUUUACGUCGCUCCUUCCCUGUGCCACGAGAUGUGCUAAGUCCUUAAAAAACCCAAACAUUUGGUCUUCAUAAAGACUCUGCAAGACGUUCCCAUCUAACAUUCGAAGAAACCGAGGCUGCCGGGGUUGCCCGCGCUUACACAGCCACUAAGUGUCUGGGGCCGUGUUUGAGCUCGGCUCCCCUGGCUCCGGGCCCACCUGUUGUUCCUCCUACAGGACCACAUCCCCGCUUUAGGCCCCAGACAGCUUGUCUCAGGCCCCCACCUUGCUAGUUGUCCCCAUCAGUUGUCGGUCCGUUCCAUAAAUUGGGGUUUGUUAGGUGGCUCCCAGGAGCAAUGGCUGCUCUCACACAUGUCCUCGGAGGAGGGAGGCGAGAGUAAGGAGAGACAAGUGCGCAGAGGGCCCCUUCCCAGGCAGGGGGGCCGCUGGCUCGGCCAGGGAAGGUGAGCAGGGACUGGCCAAGCAUCCUCAGGGGCCUGGAGGGCUUGGCUGCCUCUUCCUUUGUAAGGGCCGGCAGCUUGUGCAGUGCCCCGAGUGCCGGGGCAGCGCCAUGUGGCCCCUCAGCCUGGAGCUCCUGUGCCCUCUGGGGGAGGGGGCCACAGCCCAGGCCGGCCUCCCGCCGAUGAGCGGAGCCCGCUCCAGCCACAAUUGGCCUUCUGCAGUCUGACCCUCAGGGAAGUAACUGUGCGGGACCCAGGACUGCUUAGUCACAGCCCUGAGGCAGCGGUUCAGGGAGAGCCAGAAACCCACAAUGCACAGUCUGAGCCGCCCUGGUCUGGGCCCAGCUGCCUUGGGCACUGAGAUGUGUCAGGUGGGGCUGGUAAGUGAGCCCCUCCCGCCCAGGGCCUUGUUGUUGGGGAGAGCUUUGUGGAGGGGGCGGGACUGUGACUGGUCCCCCUUGGUGCCCACCGUGGGCAUCCGGAGCGGAACCGGUGUCCACAGUCAUGACUUCCCAUGGGACUCUGGAGCAGGACCUUGGCCACUGCAGUUGGAAGGAGGCCGUGGGGCGCCAGCCCUUCCCUGCAGCCGGAGAAUUGAACAAGGCACCCCAAAACGGUUGGGAUCCCCUGUUGCGAGUUUGGGGAAAGAAUCUGCACUCAGUCCCCAAAUUAAGGGGCAGAGAUCCAACGGCAGGCUCCUUUCCAAGGGAGUUUAGCAGUCGGAACCAGGGGGAGAAUUUUGUGGGGAAGGAGACGAGGAUUGGGGACAAGCCAGAGCGAUGGCUGAGAGGCGAGUGCCGGGGGGGCGGGUUCUGCCCCAAAUGACCAGCAGAAUGCUUCUGAGGCAGUGUGGGGAGGGGUGGCUGCUGGAUCCCCCAGUAAGCUCCCCCUGCCGUGCUCCUCUAUGCUCUCAGUCCCUUGUGAAGCUCCCGUCCCUCACCUUCCUGCCCCUAUGGCUCCCCCAGGCUCUGGGCCUCAGAGAAGGGAGUGCUUCAUGUAGGAGGCCUCCCGGGGCCUCCGAGCCCAAUUGGGUUAGAAGGGAGGUGAGGGCUCGUCUCUAGGCUUGGGCACCCCAGGAGUUCCUGACUGCGCUCUGGUAACCCACCUGCUGGGUGUCCUUGGGCCGUGAUUUGGGGUUGAGUGUGAUCCCCGGCACCUCCUGCCCCGUGCGUGCCCUUGCCUCCCCCUCCCCCAUGUCAUAUUUGGCCCCUUCCCCCUCUGCCGCCGGCCUGGUGAGGGCCUCCUGUCAUCUCUGGGCUCCCAGUCUGCGGGAGCCGCUCCCCCGGCCAUGCUGGGGCACUUGGAGGGAGCCUCCCGAGGGGAGCCCGCGCCCUCUCCCCGUGAAUCCAUGGCUGCUCAGGGGCCGCGGGGCUCACGUGCCCCCAGCAGUUGCCCAUGUCCCGGCUCAGGCCCCUAGCCUGGGGCUCAGCCGCUGCAAGGAAUGUGCCGAUGGAGGAAGACACAGGUGGGGAAGGGGGGCCGGACCUGUGAUUGCACAAGAGACCCCAGCCUUGGGAGGUCCCCCGGAAAUGUAAAGGAGGGAGAUUUAGGGAAGUGAAAUUCUACCCAACCCGGCAAGGAGAUCAACGUGAUGGCCUUCAUUGCCCUUGGCAGGU
rnacentral:lncRNA from 1 species